CCUACGGGAGGCAGCAGUGAGGAAUAUUGGUCAAUGGUCGGGAGACUGAACCAGCCAAGCCGCGUGAGGGAUGAAGGUACAGAGUAUCGUAAACCUCUUUUGUCAGGGAACAAAGGCGGGGACGUGUCCCCGGAUGAGUGUACCUGAAGCAAAAGCAUCGGCUAACUCCGUGCCAGCAGCCGCGGUAAUACGGAGGAUGCGAGCGUUAUCCGGAUUUAUUGGGUUUAAGGGGUGCGCAGGCGGUCUGUUAAGUCAGCGGUCAAAGCCCGGGGCUCAACCCCGGCCCGCCGUUGAAACUGGCAGUCUCGAGUUGGAGAGAAGGAUGCGGAAUGCGCGGUGUAGCGGUGAAAUGCAUAGAUAUCGCGCAGAACUCCGAUUGCGAAGGCAGCAUGCUGGACUGAAACUGACGUUGAGGCUCGAAAGCGUGGGGAGCAAACAGGAUUAGAUACCCGAGUAGUC
rnacentral:rRNA from 1 species